rnacentral:rRNA from 1 species
UAGGGAAUUUUGCGCAAUGGACGGAAGUCUGACGCAGCAACGCCGCGUGAGUGAUGAAGGUCUUCGGAUUGUAAAACUCUGUUGAGUGGGAAGAAAAGCUUCGGGAAUAACACCUCGAGGUCUGACGGUACCACUUGAGGAAGCCCCGGCUAACUACGUGCCAGCAGCCGCGGUAAUACGUAGGGGGCAAGCGUUGUUCGGAAUCACUGGGCGUAAAGGGAGCGUAGGCGGAGGAAUAAGUUAGGAGUUUAAUAUACGGGCUUAACCCGUAAUCGGCUCCUAAUACUGUUUUUCUUGAGUAUGGGAGAGGGAGAUGGAAUUCCAGGUGUAGCGGUGGAAUGCGUAGAUAUCUGGAAGAACACCAGCUGCGAAGGCGGUCUCCUGGCCCAAUACUGACGCUGAGGCUCGAAAGCUAGGGGAGCAAACAGG